rnacentral:rRNA from 1 species
UACGAAGGGGGCUAGCGUUGCUCGGAAUCACUGGGCGUAAAGCGCACGUAGGCGGAUCUUUAAGUCAGGGGUGAAAUCCUGGAGCUCAACUCCAGAACUGCCUUUGAUACUGAGAGUCUUGAGUACGGGAGAGGUGAGUGGAACUGCGAGUGUAGAGGUGAAAUUCGUAGAUAUUCGCAAGAACACCAGUGGCGAAGGCGGCUCACUGGCCCGUUACUGACGCUGAGGCACGAAAGCGUGGGGAGCAAACAGG